rnacentral:rRNA from 1 species
AGCGAACGCUGGCGGCAGGCCUAACACAUGCAAGUCGAACGAACCUAUCGGGGUUAGUGGCGGACGGGGGAGUAACACGUCGGAACGUGCCUUUAGGUUCGGAAUAACUCAGGGAAACUUGUGCUAAUACCGAAUGUGCCCUUCGGGGGAAAGAUUUAUCGCCCUUAGAGCGGCCGGCGUCUGAUUAGCUAGUUGGUUGAGGUAAUGGCUCACCAAGGCGACGUUCAGUAGCUGGUAAGUGAGGAUGAUCAGCCACUUUUGGACUAGGACACAGCCCAGACUCCUACGGGAUGCGGCAGUGGGUGAUCUUGCGAAACCGGCUAAGUGCUGACGGACCCAGGCUGCUAGAACGAUGUUGGUCUGAAAGAUGUAAAGUUCUUUCACCGGGGACGAUAAUGACGGUACCCGAAGAAGAAGCCCCGGCUAACUUCGUG